GGGUCACUAACAGGCGGACCGCGGUCCGGGUCCUGACCCAGACGCCGUCCUAUACGGACCCGGACCUAUAGUCAAUAAAUUAUUCAAAUAUUUUUAAUUUUGACGUGGCUUCUAUUUUGACCGGCGCAGCGUUUCUAGACAUUCCGGUACUGGUUUACGGAAUCAGGAAAUCCCUUGACCAAUGGCAUUCGAGGCCAUCCCACGUGAUGCUACUCAGCCAAUCGAAUCCGUGCAUUCCCGGCACAGGCUGCCUGGCUCACAGACAGUGAGACAGAGAGCGUUCAUGUGAGAGAUGACAGAGAGAAGUGCGAGAAUUACAGAGAAAGAAGUCAGAUAAGAGUGAGUAAUACAGCGGGAGAAGGCAGAUAAGAUAGCGGGAGAAGAGUGAGAAAGACAGCGGGAGAAGAGUGAGAAAGACAGCGGGAGAAGAGUGAAUAAUACAGCGGGAGAAGAGUGAGUAAUACAGCGGGAGAAGAGCUGGCACUCAGGCUGACACACCUGCAGCAGAUCUGAGAUCGCUACCGCCCAAUUACCAGCCUGCUGUAUGAAGCCAGCAAAGUCAGUUGCUUGGGACACAGACCCGGCAACACCUUUGUCCCACAGUGCGAGUUGUUAAAUAGCCUUUUCUUUCUGUAAUCUUUGAUCUAGGCCUGGGGAUGGCCGGCGGUCCUACUUUUCCGUUUAGUUCUUAGUUCAUAAUUUGGUUUUGUCAGGCAGGGAGGGGGGCCAGCCUCGACGUCCCUAUAGGGCAGGGGUCGGCAAAUAGGUGCCCGCGGGCCAAUUUUGGCCCGCCAUCUAUUCUGUCUGGCCCACGAGAUGACGUUAAUUUGAUGUAAAAAAUUAAUAAAAAAAAAAAAUCUCAACCCCAUAUUUUUAAAAAGAAAAGAAAAGGCAUACAGCAAUCCCAUCAAUUUCGAAACAUUUAUUGAGGUAUAGAUGAUAGUCCUAAAGUGACAAAACAGGUGGAACAUCUGUGCAGUUAUCCAUGACGCACAGGUCGGAACGGUAUUGGCACGCCAGUGCGCGUAAUCUUGUGCAAAAAAAAACCAAAAGUGUCCUGUCUCCCUCCUCCAGUGGGCAAGGUAAAAAA